ACUCCUACGGGAGGCAGCAGUGGGGAAUAUUGCACAAUGGGGGAAACCCUGAUGCAGCCAUGCCGCGUGUGUGAAGAAGGCCUUCGGUUGUAAAGCACUUUCAGUAGGGAGGAAGGUAGUGUAGUUAACACCUGCAUUAUUUGACGUUACCUACAGAAGAAGCACCGGCUAACUCCGUGCCAGCAGCCGCGGUAAUACGGAGGGUGCGAGCGUUAAUCGGAAUUACUGGGCGUAAAGCGCAUGCAGGCGGCCUGUUAAGUCAGAUGUGAAAGCCCGGGGUCUUAACCGUCGGAAUUGCAUUUGAAACUGGCAGGCUAGAGUCUUGUAGAGGGGGUUAGAAUUUCAGGUGUAGCGGUGAAAUGCGUAGAGAUCUGAAGGAAUACCAGUGGCGAAGGCGGCCCCGUGGACAAAGACUGACGCUCAGAUGCGAAA
rnacentral:rRNA from 1 species